rnacentral:rRNA from 1 species
CAGGGAAUAUUGUGCAAUGAACGAAAGUUUGACACAGCGACACCGCGUGUGGGAUGACGGAUCUAGGUUUGUAAACCACUUUCAGGAGGGAAGAAAAUGACGGUACCUCCACAAGAAGCCCCGGCCAACUACGUGCCAGCAGCCGCGGUAAUACGUAGGGGGCGAGCGUUGUCCGGAUUUAUUGGGCGUAAAGAGCUCGUAGGCGGUUCAACAAGUCGGUAGUAAAAGUUCAGGGCUCAACCCUGAAAUGUCUAUCGAUACUGUUGUGACUAGGAUACGGCAGAGGUGAGUGGAAUUCCGAGUGUAGCGGUGAAAUGCGUAGAUAUUCGGAGGAACACCAAUUGCGAAGGCAGCUCACUGGGCCGCUAUCGACGCUGAGGAGCGAAAGCUAGGGGAGCAAACAGGAUUAGAUACCCUGGUAGUCCUAGCUGUAAACGAUGGAUACUAGACGUAGGAACUGGAUUGACGGUUUCUGUGUCGUAGCUAACGC